ACGAAGGGGGCUAGCGUUGCUCGGAAUCACUGGGCGUAGAGGGUGCGUAGGCGGGGCUUUAAGUCAGGGGUGAAAUCCUGGAGCUCAACUCCAGAACUGCCUUUGAUACUGAAGAUCUUGAGUCCGGGAGAGGUGAGUGGAACUGCGAGUGUAGAGGUGAAAUUCGUAGAUAUUCGCAAGAACACCAGUGGCGAAGGCGGCUCACUGGCCCGGUACUGACGCUGAGGCACGAAAGCGUGGGGAGCAAACAGG
rnacentral:rRNA from 1 species